AAGCCGUCAAUAGCAUGACGCCAUUUUGAACUUGUGCUUCAUCACGCGCGAGUACGUUGUCGUUGAGUGGUACUGAAAUCGCUGCGUUAAGGGCGACUGCAACCAAGCGUUGUGGCAAGUUACGGUGGGAGCUUCUUUCCGUGCUGUGCGAUUGCGACGAGGGGACCGCCGCGAGCAGCAGCGUAUCGCCGAUUUCGUCUUUGCCGACAUCGCCGGACCGUCACAAGCGCCCAAGUGCUGCGGUUUGCACUGCAUCUUUCAUUGUGAUAUGGGAGAUCGCAACGGACAGAGACGACCAGAUGCAUACGACCGACUACCAGCGGGGGGUGACCUGUGCCAUAUUUCUCUUAACGUCUCAGGUAUUCAAGAAAUGGCAACAGCCAGAAGUCACCAUCUUACCAGCACGUUAUGGGUACACUCUGGCGGCUCCUACCCCUGUGUCCUCCCACCACCCUGUCCUGACUACGUCCACUAGGUAGUUGGGAGCCUUUGGUGGCUUCUGCCACUGCAUCCUGCCGCCACCAUGUCCCGACUAUGUCCACUAGGGAGUUGGCAGCCUUAGUGAUGAUGCCAGCAGGCUGACAGCCGACAGAAAGAUUCAGGUUGCCUCGAAAUUUUACCCAAGCCAUGCCGCACACUCGGGCCAGGCCUCUUGCGAACGACGUAUAACCAGGCUCAACGCAUCAGGGUCGAGGGAGUCCGGAGAUCAAGGCAACCUGCUGUGCAACCUUUGGUGACCCCUCUACAUGUGCUACCUAUUUCACAGCUGUGCCUCACCUACCAUCUAUCCAAACAGCAUCACCGGCUGUGAUCACUUAUCGAACCAUGGAUGAAUGUUGGGGUGGAGUGAUUUGAACAGACAUUCUAUUUGUCUCUUCAAAUUCUUUGUAAAUAUUUCUGUUAUAAUUCAUAUGUGUCUUUAGUAUCUAGUUUUUAAUAGUUCCUUUCUCUUAGAAUUCUCACCAUCAGCCCCUGCUAUUCUAAUGUAUACCUGCCUUUAAGCCCCGUUUCUCAUAGUUCUUUCGUACUUGUGGAUGUAAUUGAUAGGUUAAUAAUUCUUGUUGUAUGGAAGGCUAAAAUACGAACUUACGGCAUUUUUUCUUCCUGUGAUAAUCUACAGCACUGCAAUGUGUUCAAGAAAUGUAACAUAACACGGGCUCUGGUGUAGGAUAAAUUUAAGAGCAAUAUAGAGUACUUAUUUCAAGCACCCAUUAUUUUUUAAAAACUCAAGGAUAUAGGAGCACAAGAAAGAAACUAUUGAACUAGAGAAACAUUGGUUCCCCUCAUAAGUCUGGUAAUAACGUGACUUCUUUCACUGCAAAGAUACUGGUACUCGCAUACAAGGCUUGAGACAUGAAAGCUAUGAUACCCUUGGCAUUUCUCAGUGCUUAUUUGCCACACUGAUGAAUGUCAAAGGCAGCAUAGGUUUCAUGCACACAUUGGUUGUAUUACACCUUUUGAGUAUUGCAUUUCUCAAACACACGGGUUUGUAGCAGUGCUUUAAAUAGCAGAUGUAUUUCCUAAUUUUCAGAAUUUGUUAGUGCAAGAGUAACGCUACAGAUCAUGUAAAAAUAAUUUUACAGACUAUAUGUCCAUGGAUGCAUGUUUCUUCUGAUGACGUAGCAGUGCCAUGUGGUCGGGGGAUGAAUGUCUAUUUCAGAUUUAAAUAUUGGCUUCCAGGCCUGGGUUAGUCUCCUACACUGAGUAUUCCAGGUCAAAGCCCAGUUACUAGAGGAAAGUGAAUAAAACUAGGAAUUAUAAACAUCAGAAGAUCUUGUUCGGGACACUAAUGUAACAAUCAGCAAGGUUCUUUGUGCAUUCAUUUCCAGAUUUGCGAGAUUAUAUUUUGACUGGUUUCAUUAAUGCGAGAACAAAUAUUUGUUUAUUCUCAUGCUAGAGUUGGCUGCCCCCAUUCGUAUACAACCCCUUUACAGGCUAAAAAUUAAGUGUAUAAUAGGCUGGUUUUCGGUUUUGCGCCCUCAGUGUUAAGGGAUGCAAACGGUGACAUACAACAGAAUGCAGAAAAAUGUCUAAGGAAUGCAAGCAGGGCAUGGGACUUUUUAGACAGAUGCAUGCGUGUGCUAUUUAUAAAACUCCCUAUGGUAUGCCUCAAGGCAUUUUGUAACCCUUUGGUAGAAACACUGACACCCACCUAUUAAGGGGAAAUGCUCCUCGAAACAACUUUUUUAAUUUGUACUAGAAAUUUGAAUGUACUGCUAUUCAUAGGGAGUUUUAUGUAGAUUUGAAUUGUCAUUGGUUUUUGUGUAGCUGGUGUUUAGUUAUGUCCUACAUAGUGGCAAUAUAUUUUUAUGGGCACUUGUAUGUAAAAGUUUCGCAAAUGGUUUCAUGCUGUAUCUUAUUUAGCUAGGUGUAUACCGCAAAGUGGCGAUACCUAUCCAAACAGCUUGUACAAUUACUGGAAUUAUGCAAAAAAUAUUAGGCCACUUUAAAUAAUUUUUAGAUUGCAAUUUCAAUUAGAUACUGGUAUUCUGCUUAUCUUGAAGAGUAUGUAUGCCAAAUUUAAUUUGUAUAGGACAAUUAUAAAGCACAAGGUUAUUCUCAUGCUAUUGUGAGAAAAAAUUAUUGAAGUAUUCUCAAUAAUUUUAGUAGCAGGCCUGCCUGCCUGCCUACUAAUCUUGCAUACUUCUAGUAACUUUACGUGCUGUUUGAAUAGAUAUCGGCACCUUGCAGUCUACAGGGAGCUGAGUUAGCUGCAGCACACUGCUUUUUUGUGAAAAUUUAAUACACAAGAAAGUGCCCGCAAAUAUCACUAUGUAUUUUGCCGUUGUAUAGGACAUAACUCAAGAAGCAGCUAAACAAAAACUAAUGGAAUAUAUGAAAUCUGCAUGAAGAACUCUACAAUUGGCUCUCUUUUGAAACCUCUAGUACAAAUAAUAAAAAUAUUUCGAGUAAUAUUCAAUCAGCAAAACGUUCCCCUUGCUACAGUGACCUACAACAUAGCGACGCAAAGCUUAAGGCAAGUCCUCUUGUCGAAGCGAAUAUGGGCUGUCUUCCCAAGGGCUUCUGUUAAAGACGGUGAAUUUUCCUGCAUUUACCAGAAGUGCAAUACUAAAAUGUUUGUGAAUGUGCAAUUGGUAUUGGCACACUAACAGAAAAAAAGACAGUUCUGUGAAAUGUAGACUUGAGACGUGACUUUGUUGGACAUUUAAAUUUUGACUCCAUAUAUUUGUGUUUUGUACUGAGUGUUUCAACGGUGACUGCCUCUAAUUAUUGAACAUAACUGCUUCAUGACAGUGCGACAAUUUUCCCUAACAUAAAUUUUAGCUGUGGCAGGCAUUAGAAUUACAGUACUCAAUAACGUCUACUUUGUAAGAACUCAGACUAGCACCAGUUCUGAUAUACAUAUACCCAAAAAGUAAUGAUCAUCCUACAAGGCUUACAGAAGGCUUUUUGGCAAAGUAAUAUCCGAAAGAGCAAAGCAUGUUCCACCAAGUAUGGUGACAAAUAUUUUAGAGCUGCCAGUCUGAGGACUCCUACAAACUAACAAUACCUUCAGCACUGACUAGCUUCAAUAAUGGGAUGUCAGUGUUUUGCUAAAAUUAAUGAAACUUCAAUUAUUGUGAUCUUGUUUAAGAAGACAUUUGUAAUUAACAUGCAGUUCUAAUCUCUGUCACUUUUGUAAAUAUUUCCCAAUUAUUUUUUCAGGCUACCAUUUUUGGUAAUAAUGGUAUUCAUUGCAGAAAGAGCUAGUACAUGGCAUUUAAUAAAGAAGGUACUGGUCAUUGUAGAUUUUCUGUCUUCAGCAUUUGUUCUGUUCCACAGCUGUUUCUUGAAAUCUGAAAUGAUGUACCCAUCACUUUGUUAGCGAUAAACAGGGAAAUCUGUCAGUAUGUUUUGUUUAAAAUGGAGCUGAUCAACCCAAUAGUUAGGCUAUUUGCUAAUUAUAAAUUACAAUGAUAAUAGUACAGGACAUAAAAACAGACUGAUGCUGAAUAACAGCUGUGCCCAGCUACAUACACGCAGCUUUGCCACACAAUGUGUAUGUGUUCAGAAGAGCCAAAUGCCCCAGAGAGAAAGCAACAGUAACUAAUUGUUCGUCAUCUUGUACAAGCAGAUUAUGCGCUAGAUGUAAAUUAUGCUCAGUAAAUACAUAAGUCAGUCAUGUGAGGUGUCUCACUUUAGGUUGCAAGUUGGAACUUAUUGCAAUCUUGGUUCUUUUUAUUUUGUUUCCUUUGUGAGCAUGAGUGACUUAGUUGCCUUGGCACAUUUUGUCAAAACUGUUUCUUCAUCACUGGGAAUCACAAAAUUUCAAUUACACAUAAAAUUUCCAGUUACUGAUAUGGUAGACUUCGAAGUUAAUUCUCUUAUCUACCAAGUAGUUUUAUCAUUCAUUGAAACAUAUCCAUGCAAUGCACAAUAGGAACCCAAAUUAUAAAUAUCUGUUCUUGCUUUCUACCCUGCUCUACAACAUUAUGAAGAUACAAAGCAAAACUAUAAGUUUACAAUUGUCCCCCAUAACCUGAGUUUCGCUUAGAAUUUGAAAAACAAAAUUGACAUCCUGCUAUAGUGUGAGAGUUGCUUUGAGCACCAAGUGAACUGCGUAGCACCUGUGCUAGAGUACACAACAAAGCAGAAAAUCGCACCAGAUUGGAAUGGCAGUGGUAAGUUAAGAACAGAUGUUUUAUUUCACGCACCAUUAAUGUGGCUUAUCAUCUGCUCCUGUUUUGUGGGAACGCAUACAUUGGGAAGACAAUUUUUUGCACCAAUCUUACCUUAGCGGGACACUUGAGAAAGGUAGAAAUCAAGAACAGGUAUUCACACUUUGUUGCCCGCAGUGUAUUAUCUGAAUGUGUUUCACUCUACAAAAGACUACUGUGGUAGAUAAUCAUAAAGACCAAGACAAAAGAAUUAAAAGAAGUAUGUGUCAGUCAUCCUUCCAUGAUCUCCCAUGUUUAUAGAAACACUUCUUUCUGCAUAUGUGCGAAGCCGUAGGGAAGCAUUACAUAACUCAGUCAUGCUUUCCAAGUUAAAAAUCUGAAUAAGGACAAUCACAAGAACAUUGUAUGAGUGAUUUGUAAAUGUGGCACCUAAUGGAACUUAUUUACGUAUGUGCUGAGGGUACAUUACAGCCAGUGCAUAAUCUGUCUGCUCUUACAGGAUAGCUUGUGAUGAGUAAAAGAAGCCUUCCUCACAUCUUCCUCUUUGUUUCUUUUGGACCUUGGUGCACCAUGUGUAUUGUUACAGCUGCAUGCAUGCAGCUGGGUAUAGUUUAUGUGUUCUGCUACCUCCCUUGUCCUCAUUACUCAUGUGCUAUCUUUGCCGUAACAAAAUACAGCUACCUGUGCUACAUAUUUUGUCAGCGUGUUUGCAUUAUGGCAAGUUUUGUAUUAGUGGUUAUUGCAAUCUGCGAAAUUGUCUGUCAGCUGUUAUACUUCGUCUUGAAAAGUACGUUUGUCAACAUAAAUAAACAAUUAGUAUAAAUUUUGCUCUAUUUAUUUUUGUAAUAUUAUCUGUUGUGAAGCUUUUAUACACUGUUGCAUGUUGUAUGACAAUAAAAUUGAUGCACAACUUU